rnacentral:tRNA from 1 species
GGAGGGGUGGCCGAGUGGUUUAAGGCAACGGUCUUGAAAACCGUCGUGCGGGCAACCGUACCGUGGGUUCGAAUCCCACCCCCUCCGCCA